rnacentral:tRNA from 1 species
GUUACAAUAGUUUAUUUAAAACGCUGAAUUGUGGUUUCAGAAAUAUGGUAUAUUUCAUUUGUUACC